rnacentral:rRNA from 1 species
AUUGAACGCUGGCGGCAGGCCUAACACAUGAAAGUCGAACGAGUGGCGGACGGGUGAGUAAUGUCUGGGCAAAUGCCCGAUGGAGGGGGCUAACUACUGGAAACGGUAGCUAAUACCGCAUACCAUCGGAUGUGCCCAGAUGGUGUGAGCUAGUAGGUGGGGUAACGGCUCACCGAGGCGACGAUCCCUAGCUGGUCUGAGAGGAGGACCAGCCACACUGUAACUGAGACACGGUCCAGACUCCUACGGGAGGCAGCAGUGGGGAAUAUUGCACAAUGGGCGCAAGCCUGAUGCAGCCAUGCCGCGUGUAUGAAGAAGGCCUUCGGGUUGUAAAGUACUUUCAGCGAGGAGGCGUUACUCGCAGAAGAAGCACCGGCUAACUCCGUGCCAGCAGCCGCGGUAAUAC